rnacentral:tRNA from 1 species
GGUGGCUCAAUGGUAGAGUGCUUGCCUUGCAUGUAAGAGGCCCUGGGUUCAAUUCCUCAGUACUA